rnacentral:rRNA from 1 species
UUCGGGAUAAGCCUGGGAAACUGGGUCUAAUACCGGAUAGGACCUCAAGACGCAUGUCUUCUGGUGGAAAGCUUUUGCGGUGUGGGGNAAUGGGCCCGCGGCCUAUCAUNANGCUUGUUGGUGGGGUGACGGCGCCCUCUACCAAGGCGACGACGGGUAGCCCGGCNGGCCUGAGAGGGUGUCCGGCCACACUUGGGGACUGAGAUACGGCCCAGGAACUCCUACGGGAGGCAGCCAGUGGGGAAUAUUGCACCAAUGGGCGCCAAGCCUGAUGCAGCGACGCCGCGUGGGGGGAUGACGGCCUUUCGGGUUGUAAACCUCUUUCACCAUCGACGAAGGUCCGGGUUUUCUCGGAUUGACGGUAGGUGGAGAAGAAGCACCGGCCAACUACGUGCCAGCAGCCGCGGUAAUACGUAGGGUGCGAGCGUUGUCCGGAAUUACUGGGCGUAAAGAGCUCGUAGGUGGUUUGUCGCGUUGUUCGUGAAAUCUCACGGCUUAACUGUGAGCGUGCGGGCGAUACGGGCAGACUAGAGUACUGCAGGGGAGACUGGAAUUCCUGGUGUAGCGGUGGAAUGCGCAGAUAUCAGGAGGAACACCGGUGGCGAAGGCGGGUCUCUGGGCAGUAACUGACGCUGAGGAGCGAAAGCGUGGGGAGCGAACAGGAUUAGAUACCCUGGUAGUCCACGCCGUAAACGGUGGGACUAGGUGUGGGUUUCCUUCCUUGGGAUCCGUGCCGUAGCUAACGCAUUAAGUACCCCGCCUGGGGAGUACGGCCGCAAGGCUAAAACUCAAAGGAAUUGACGGGGGCCCGCACAAGCGGCGGAGCAUGUGGAUUAAUUCGAUGCAACGCGAAGAACCUUACCUGGGUUUGACAUGCACAGGACGCGUCUAGAGAUAGGCGUUCCCUUGUGGCCUGUGUGCAGGUGGUGCAUGGCUGUCGUCAGCUCGUGUCGUGAGAUGUUGGGUUAAGUCCCGCAACGAGCGCAACCCUUGUCUCAUGUUGCCAGCGGGUAAUGCCGGGGACUCGUGAGAGACUGCCGGGGUCAACUCGGAGGAAGGUGGGGAUGACGUCAAGUCAUCAUGCCCCUUAUGUCCAGGGCUUCACACAUGCUACAAUGGCCGGUACAAAGGGCUGCGAUGCCGUAAGGUUAAGCGAAUCCUUUUAAAGCCGGUCUCAGUUCGGAUUGGGGUCUGCAACUCGACCCCAUGAAGUCGGAGUCGCUAGUAAUCGCAGAUCAGCAACGCUGCGGUGAAUACGUUCCCGGGCCUUGUACACACCGCCCGUCACGUCAUGAAAGUCGGUAACACCC